rnacentral:lncRNA from 1 species
AUAGUAAUGUCAUUGGAUUGAGGAUACUUGUUUGCAGAGGAGGCAAGAAUGCGUUGUUCCGUUUUUGAAUUCCACACAUCUAAUAUGGAGCCUGAGCCACAGGGCUCAAAAUGUUAAGUAAACAAAUGAAUGGGAAAUUAAUAAGAAGAAUGCAUUGGCAAGACCGUGAAGGCCUGCCAUGGGAAGCUUUGGGAAGAAGCCAGCUGCCAUGUUGUGAGAACUCUCAAGCAGCUGUGUGGAGAGAUCCAUGUGGUGAGGAACUGAAGCCUCCUACCCACCAUCAAGUCAGUGGCUCACUACUGUUGCAGUGAAUUCUCCAGCCCAUGAAGACUUUAGAUGAUUUACCCAACAUCUUGAUUAUAGCCUCAUGGAUUCCCUGAGCCAGAACAACCCAGCUAAGCCUCUCCUGAAUUCCUUACCUACAGAAACUGUGAGAUAAUAAAUAUUUAUUCUUUUAAGCCAUC